GAGAUCAGACCUCCUCUCUCCUUACCUCUUCACUUUUGUUGAUGAUUCUCUUAGCUGAACUAUAUCAAAGGGAGCACAAGAGGAUGCUAUUACCAGCCUUGGUCAUGGUGGAAAUGAUAAUAAAACUACCUUGCUUCAAUUUCAGAUGUUAACAUAUUAUUUUGUGAAGUUCACAGAAGCAGUAACAAUCAUAAAGUUCUUUUUAUGCCCUUGAGUGUAUUUCAAGGUCAAUCAAUAUAAAUUGUCCAAAAGAGCACCUCUAUCGAAAACCAAACCUAGGUCACCUCCUUAUGCGUCAACUAUAAAUUGAUGGAGUUGCAGAUGGUAGUGGAAGAUAAUAAUGACACUAAUGUAGGGGACCAAAUUGAUUCUCCAAAUCUUUAUCAAUUUGGCAAGAUGUGAUGCAACUCUACUAUGAUUAUAGGAGAUCAAAUUGAUUCUUCAAGUCUUCAUCAACUUGGCAAGAAACCAUGCAAACUCACCACCUGUAACACCUCGAGCCAGCAA
rnacentral:lncRNA from 1 species